rnacentral:sRNA from 1 species
UCGUUUAAUAAGUAAUAACACACACGUAUCGACACCUGCGCCGGGGUGCCCUGAAAACGCCGUCUUAGAUGGCAUUUUACGGGGUCGGUUGCACGGGAUACGUGGAGGCAUAAC